AGGAUAAACGCUGGCGGCGUGCCUAACACAUGCAAGUCGAACGUCUCUUCUUUCGGGAAGAGGAGUGGCGGACGGGUGAGGAACACGUGGGAACCUGCCCUACAGUGAGGAAUACCGGCGAGAAAUCGCCGACAAGACCGCAUAGCCCUCUCUGGUGAGAGCCAGAGAAGGAAAGCUUCGCAAGAGGCGCUGGAGGAGGGGCCUGCGUCCGAUUAGCUAGUUGGUGGGGUAAGAGCCUACCAAGGCGUCGAUCGGUAGCUGGUCUGAGAGGACGAUCAGCCACACUGGGAUUGAGAACGGCCCAGACUCCUACGGGGGGCAGCAGUGAGGAAUUUUCGGCAAUGGGGGAAACCCUGACCGAGCAACGCCGCGUGCAGGAAGACGGCCUUCGGGUUGUAAACUGUCUUUUCUUUGGGACGAGCAAGGACGGUACCAGAGGAAUCAGCCCGGCUCACUACGUGCCAGCAGCCGC
rnacentral:rRNA from 1 species